rnacentral:rRNA from 1 species
GAUGAACGCUGGCGGCGUGCCUAAUACAUGCAAGUCGAGCGAACGGACGAGAAGCUUGCUUCUCUGAUGUUAGCGGCGGACGGGUGAGUAACACGUGGAUAACCUACCUAUAAGACUGGGAUAACUUCGGGAAACCGGAGCUAAUACCGGAUGAUAUUUUGAACCGCAUGGUUCAAAAGUGAAAGACGGUCUUGCUGUCACUUAUAGAUGUAUCCGCGCUGCAUUAGCUAGUUGGUAAGGUAACGGCUUACCAAGGCAACGAUGCAUAGCCGACCUGAGAGGGUGAUCGGCCACACUGGAACUGAGACACGGUCCAGACUCCUACGGGAGGCAGCAGUAGGGAAUCUUCCGCAAUGGGCGAAAGCCUGACGGAGCAACGCCGCGUGAGUGAUGAAGGUCUUCGGAUCGUAAAACUCUGUUAUUAGGGAAGAACAUUUGUGUAAGUAACUGUGCACAUCUUGACGGUACCUAAUCAGAAAGCCACGGCUAACUACGUG